rnacentral:lncRNA from 1 species
CGGGUAAGCAUUGUGGCAGUGCGAUGACCCCGAAGGAGGCACGUGGCCCUUCGGGAGCAUGGCGUUGAAUUUCUUCGUCUUCGUCCUCGUCCUUCUCUUCUGCCUCUUCAAAGUAUUCUUAUACAAACCAUUUUUAUUCUUGAUUUGGAAUCCUUCGGAUUUUGUCUUUGAAACGCGACCAACGGUGUGAAACUUUUGAUCGGAGAAGGCGACCGACAUCAUGAUCAAUG